rnacentral:rRNA from 1 species
CUACGUGCCAGCAGCCGCGGUAAUACGGAAGGUCCAGGCGUUAUCCGGAUUUAUUGGGUUUAAAGGGAGUGUAGGCGGUCUGUUAAGCGUGUUGUGAAAUUUAGGUGCUCAACAUCUACCUUGCAGCGCGAACUGGCGGACUUGAGUGCACGCAACGUAUGCGGAAUUCAUGGUGUAGCGGUGAAAUGCUUAGAUAUCAUGACGAACUCCGAUUGCGAAGGCAGCGUACGGGAGUGUUACUGACGCUUAAGCUCGAAGGUGCGGGUAUCGAACAGGAUUAGAUACCCUGGUAGUCCGCACGGUAAACGAUGGAUGCCCGCUGUUAGCGCCUGGCGUUAGCGGCUAAGCGAAAGCAUUAAGCAUCCCACCUGGGGAGUACGCCGGCAACGGUGAAACUCAAAGGAAUUGACGGGGGCCCGCACAAGCGGAGGAACAUGUGGUUUAAUUCGAUGAUACGCGAGGAACCUUACCCGGGCCUGAA